UACGUAGGGUGCAAGCGUUGCCCGGAUUUACUGGGCGUAAAGAGCGCGCAGGCGGUCGAUCAAGUCGAGUGUGAAAGCCCCGGCUCAACUGGGGAGGGUCAUUCGAUACUGAUCGACUCGAAGGCAGGAGAGGGUAGUGGAAUUCCCGGUGUAGUGGUGAAAUGCGUAGAUAUCGGGAGGAACACCAGUGGCGAAGGCGACUACCUGGCCUGUUCUGACGCUGAGGCGCGAAAGCUAGGGAGCAACGGG
rnacentral:rRNA from 1 species